rnacentral:rRNA from 1 species
AUGACUAUCCUAAGUUGGAACUGCCGGGGGAUGGGGAACUCCCGGACAGUUCGAGACCUAGCGACUAUGAUCCAGUCGCAUUCCCCUAGCUUGGUUUUCCUUUGUGAAACUAGGCAAAGUAAGGAUAAGAUGAAAAGCUACCGAAAUAGGUUUGGUCUGCGAGGUUUUGAAGGUGUUAGCAGUGAUGGUAAUAGCGGGGGGCUUGCUCUCUAUUGGCAUGAAAAUUGGACAGUGGAUAUUAGGCUUGCAAAUUCAAGAUGCAUUGAUGCACACAUCCAAGCUCCUAGAGAGACUAAAUGGCACCUGACAUGCGUGUAUGGAGAGCCUCGUAUUGAGAAUAGACACUUAAUGUGGUCCUUGAUGGAAGAUAUAGCUACCCAGAACGUUCUUCCUUGGUUGGCUGUUGGAGAUUUUAAUGAAGCCUUGUGA